GCAGUCGUGGCCCAUUGGUUAAGGCGAUGGAUUAGAAAUCUAUUGGGGUCUCCCUGAACAGGUUCGAAUCCUGUCGACUGCG
rfam:Ixodes scapularis strain Wikel colony gcontig_1107728625598, whole genome shotgun sequence.